rnacentral:rRNA from 1 species
UCGUAGGUGGUUCGUCACGUCGGAUGUGAAAAUCUGGGGCUCAACCCCAGACCUGCAUUCGAUACGGGCGAGCUAGAGUGUGGUAGGGGAGACUGGAAUUCCUGGUGUAGCGGUGGAAUGCGCAGAUAUCAGGAGGAACACCAAUGGCGAAGGCAGGUCUCUGGGCCAUUACUGACACUGAGGAGCGAAAGCGUGGGGAGCGAACAGGAUUAGAUACCCUGGUAGUCCACGCCGUAAACGGUGGGCACUAGUUGUGGGAACCUUCCACGGUUUCUGCGACGCAGCUAACACAUUAAGUGCCCCGCCUGGGGAGUACGAUCGCAAGAUUAAAACUCAAAGGAAUUGACGGGGCCCCGCACAAGCAGCGGAGCAUGCGGCUUAAUUCGACGCAACGCGAAGAACCUUACCAAGGCUUGACAUAUACAGGAAUAUGGCAGAAAUUCCAUAGCCGCAAGGUCUGUAUACAGGUGGUGCAUGGUUGUCGUCAGCUCGUGUCGUGAGAUGUUGGGUUAAGUCCCGCAACGAGCGCAACCCUCGUUCUGUGUUGCCAGCAUUUAGUUGGGGACUCACAGGAGACUGCCGGGGUUAACUCGGAGGAAGGUGGGGAUGACGUCAAAUCAUCAUGCCCCUUAUGUCUUGGGCUGCACGCAUGCUACAAUGGCUGGUACAAACGGCUGCGAUACCGCAAGGUGGAGCGAAUCCGAUAAAGCCAGUCUCAGUUCGGAUUGGGGUCUGCAACUCGACCCCAUGAAGUCGGAGUUGCUAGUAAUCGUAGAUCAGCAACGCUACGGUGAAUACGUUCCGGGGCUUGUACACACCGCCCGUCACAUCACGAAAGUCGGUAACACCCAAAGUCAGUGGCCCAAC